CAGAGGCUACUGUAUUUCUCUCACAACUGGCUUUAGAUAAGGGCCUUGUGCAGAUUCAGCUGGGCUGCCAUGCAAAGGCCUGUUCCUUUAAGUUCUGUUUACUGUAGUGAUACACCUUUAAGUCUUGAAGAAUGAAGAUGAAAUAUUCCAAACUAUGCUGCACAAGAGGAUGUGAACAGAAACAUCUGGACGGAGAAGAUCUUUUUUAUAUUCAGCCAUGCCAAUUGACCUACUACCCUCUCCAUAGCCAAAGGAAUGCCCAAAUUUCCACAGAAAGGCAUUUUUAUAUGAAGAAGCUCAUCCCUGUGGACCUUUCUCUUGAAUGCCUACUAUGAGUCACUCAGCAAGAGAGGCACCCAGCUCCCUCAAGGUCUGCAGUGCCUCGGAGGUAUUCAUACUGAGCUUUCAUCCCCCAGAAUCCAGUGAGGAUUUGAUCUCCAUCAGCCAGAGGGAAUCACAUCUCGCCAUGGAUAUGAUGACUUCUGCCCUGCCAAAGCCAAGGUUGAUCUCAGGUCUCUCGUCCUCCACCCUGCACUCAGGCAACAAAAGCAUUCGAUCAGAUGCUGUGUUACACAGCUCUGAUGUGCCGGGCUGGUCCUGGGUGCCAAGGAUACAUCUAUCUGUCAAUAAACAAGGGA
rnacentral:lncRNA from 10 species